rnacentral:lncRNA from 1 species
CAUAAAACAAUAGGAAUUUCCAGAGUCCUGAUUAAAUUACUGGCGUCUGUUUCCCUUACGUUGGCCAACAGAAAGCGUUUCAUUAUGAAGGUAAGACGCUUCCUUGCCGUUGCCUGAAUUUCUUCCACAAAGCUUAGGGUUAUCAUUUGUCCACUCUUAAAGUGCCAGCACGGUUUUCUGAUAUCUGCUCUUUCAUUUCAAUUUAGACGUUUUUGAUGGCAUACUUGUCUUCUACAGGUUUAAAUUACAUACAAGCCAUGCGUUUGGAUGAGCAUGAGUUCUCUGGAACAGCAUAGUGCCUACUAUGUAGUUAGGAAAGCUUAGUCAUGUGGUUUCAGGAUUUGGAGGUUUCACUAUGGUCUGUUUUUGCUCUCUGUUCAAGCUCUAAUUCCCUUCUGCAGGCACCCCCCUCUCUGUGCAUAGCUGAAGCAAAAGCCAGAGUUUUGAUUUUAGUGAAGGCUGAAGCCUACUUAUUUUGUCAAGAAGUUGUAAGCGUGAUCGCUGCACUCCUGCCUUCCUUGCAAAGGACACCCCGGAGAGAGCAACAAAUAGAAAAAAAAGAGAGCUUCCCAGCACGAGGAACCCUGGGAUACUUAUCUGCGUGCUUGACCCAGUGCAAAAAUACUGACAGCCAGGCUGUGUUUUGGCCUCAGCAUGGCUCCUGGCUGCCUGGUCUGGGCUAUUUCAGUCUGCGAGGGUACUCUGCAAAGCGGAGAAAAGAAGCCAAGGAUGAAAAGGGAAAUGACUGGUCUACUGUUGCAUUGGGAGGCUGUGCUAGGACACAGAAGAUUCAGAAGAUUUAUCACUUCUUCUACCGAUAAGGGACAUUGCUUCUUUGAGUGAGUUUUCUUCGUGGCUUAAAAGAUUUACUGAUAUGUUGAAAUUCCCUGUACUGGAGAUUCAGAUGAACUUUGGAAACUUGUGAUAAGAACUAUAAAUCUGCUAUAAACUAGGAACCUAUUUUUCAAGGUGUGUAUUUAUUGACAGAGUUUGUACUAGUUUAUUCUUCUGCUUCUUGUUUGUGUGCAUCAGAAGAGGUUCUCUUUUCAACAGCAUGAACCAAUUAUAAAAACCAUAUUGUGGAUUGUACAGUAUAUAGGUAAAUUAUCAACAAAGAGGUAGUCUUUAUCAGAG